GAUGUGAUGAAGUCCGUUACAACUGAAAGCGACACUCUGAUCCACUAGAUUCCAAACAGUUUAAACAGUAAAAACUGACCGAGUAAAUGUGAAUAUUUUUUCACUUGAACACUCUGAUCUGUUUGGAACUUAAUUUCCUUACUCAUGAAAUUAAUAUAAUAAGGCUAAGUUGGUCAGUAGUUAAACUAACUAAAUUUGGCUGAAGAUUGCUAUGUUCACUAUGCAAAGAUUAGACCGUUAGUUCCCUGAGUGAAGAGAUGCUAUCUUGGUAUCUCCAGCUUCCAACCGGGGGCUUGGCACAGAAUAGGGGCUUGGUAAAUGUUUUCCAAAUGAAUGGGAUGUCUGAUGGAAAGAAGACAAGGUGAAGGAAUUCCUGGGUAAUAUGGAGAUGAGAAUCUGUGAGAAGGAUACAUGUACUGAUGCCUGUCGCGGUGGACACACAGACGCACACAUUGCGGAACACCACCAUAAGAAUAUUGAGAAUAUCGAGAACACUUCAAUAUUCCAAACUUCAAUGGAAAUAUACGUAGGUUUCACUUAACUAUGGUCCUGAUGGCUUUUUUGAAAAAGAAAGAAAGAAAAAAUGUUUUCAUCAUAUUAAGAAAAUGUCUUAGUCUUAGUUCAGAGAUUUCAUCAGAAAAUGAUGUUGAUUUAUAUAAAAGCUUUUUCAUAGAUAUAUCAAACCUAUAGAAAUUAUAAUGCAUUUUUCUCCUCUUUUGAUAUAUUGAUACAAUGCUGCAGAUCUUCUAAGAUUGAAUGAUCCUUGCAUUACUGAAAUAAGUAUUGUCAUAGUGUAUUAUCAUUUUAUUACAGUAUGCAUUUGAUUUUUCUGGUGUUUUAUUUUUGUCAUUUCCGUCUAUAUAAAGUAAAAUUAGUCUACAUGGGGUAUAUGUGUGUGCAUGUGCAUGUGUGCAUGUGUGUGUGUGUGUAUUUGCUAUUUUGGUCAGGUUUGCUAUUAGCACUAUGGAAGGUUAUAAAAUAAGUUGGACAGCUGUCUAUUUUUUUUUAGAUGCUGUAAAAUUUCAAAUUCAUGCUCCACUUCUUAUAAAAGGUAUGACUUUGUGAAAGUUGCUUUGUUGUUAAAUUUCUUUUGUCAAAAUUAAAUACUUGAGCUUUUCCCACUUUUGAGGUACAUUUAAACAUUUUAUAUUAAUGAAUUUUACAUGUAUAUUUAUAACUUAUGUUUUCCUUUAAGAAUUUUAAAUAUAUAACCAGGUGCAUAUAAAAGAUUUUAAAAUAAAUUAUAAUAUCUGUCAAA
ensembl:lncRNA novel transcript, antisense to C9orf57